rnacentral:rRNA from 1 species
AUACGUAGGUGGCGAGCGUUAUCCGGAAUUACUGGGCGUAAAGCGCACGCAGGCGGUCUGUCAAGUCUGACGUGAAAGCUCCUGGCUUAACUGGGAGAGGUCGUUGGAAACUGAUGGGCUUGAGGCAAUGAGAGGGGUGUAGAAUUCCCGGUGUAGUGGUGGAAUGCGUAGAUAUCGGGAGGAAUACCAGUGGCGAAGGCGACACCCUGGCAUUGACCUGACGCUGAGGUGCGAAAGCGUGGGGAGCGAACGGGAUUAGAUACCCCGGUAGUCCACGCUGUAAACGAUGAGCACUAGGUGUAGGUGGUGUGAAAACUAUCUGUGCCGCAGUCAACGCGCUAAGUGCUCCGCCUGGGGAGUACGGCCGCAAGGCUAAA